AGAGUUUGAUCCUGGCUCAGAACGAACGCUGGCGGCAUGGAUUAGGCAUGCAAGUUGAACGAACCACUUCGGUGGAGAGUAGCGGAAGGGUGAGGAACGCGUGAGUAAUCUGCCCCCUAGUUGGGAAUAACAGUUGGAAACGACUGCUAAUACCGAAUGUGGCUUCGAUCCUGCAUGGGAUGGAGGCUAAAGAUUUAUCGCUAGGGGAUGAGCUCGCGUCCCAUUAGGUAGUUGGUGAGGUAACGGCCCACCAAGCCGACGAUGGGUAGCUGGUCUGAGAGGAUGGUCAGCCACACUGGGACUGAGACACUGCCCAGACUCCUACGGGAGGCUGCAGUCGAGAAUCUUGGGCAAUGCGCGAAAGCGUGACCCAGCAAUGCCGCGUGUGUGAUGAAGGCCUUCGGGUCGUAAAGCACUGUCUCCCGUGACGAAAUUUGACGGUAGCGGGGAAGGAAGCCACGGCUAACUACGUGCCAGCAGCCGCGGUAAUACGUAGGUGGCGAGCGUUGUUCGGAUUUAUUGGGCGUAAAGGGUCUGUAGGAGGUUCGUUAAAUACGAGGUGAAAUCCCGAAGCUCAACUUCGGAACUGCCUUGUAGACUGACGGACUAGAGUACCGGAGAGGUAAGCGGAAUACCAGGUGUAGCGGUGGAAUGCGUAGAUAUCUGGUAGAACACCAAUAGCGAAGGCAGCUUGCUGGACGGAAACUGACUCUGAAAGACGAAAGCAUGGGGAGCAAACAGGAUUAGAUACCCUGGUAGUCCAUGCCGUAAACGUUGUCAACUUGAUGUGGGGGGAUUUAGUCCUCUCCGUAUCGAAGCUAACGCGAUAAGUUGACCGCCUGGGGACUACGGCCGCAAGGCUAAAACUCAAAGGAAUUGACGGGGGCCCGCACAAGCGGUGGAGCAUGUGGCUUAAUUCGAGGCAACGCGAAGAACCUUACCUGGUCUUGAAAUAUAUCGGACCGCCUGUGAAAGCAGGUUUCCCUUCGGGGCUGAUAUACAGGUGCUGCAUGGCUGUCGUCAGCUCGUGCCGUGAGGUGUUCGGUUAAGUCCGGCAACGAGCGCAACCCGUGUCACUAGUUGCCAUCAAGUAAUGUUGGGGACUCUAGUGAGACUGCCUGUGUUAAGCAGGAGGAAGGCGCGGAUGACGUCAAGUCAGUAUGGCCCUUACGACCAGGGCUGCACACGUGCUACAAUGGGGGGUACAAUGGGAUGCAAUGUCGCGAGGCGGAGCAAAUCCACAAAACCUCUCUUAGUUCAGAUUGCAGUCUGCAACUCGACUGCAUGAAGUUGG
rnacentral:rRNA from 1 species